ensembl:lncRNA
AGGGUAGGGGGGCACAUGCUGUGGGGAGUGGGGGACUGGACAAGGGGGGUGGAGGGUGAGCUUCGGGGCAGGGAUAAGUGGGGAUGGUGGGUGGGAGUGGGGUCCCUCCCUGAAUGCCCUGAAGCUUUCUGACAGUCCUUAGCUGGCAGGCUCCAGUCCUGAGAACACACCGUGAUAAUGGUUAACUCAGCAACAGUUGCAAAAAAGAAACAAAGAUCCCAGGCCCAAUGAAAUUCCCAGACUGGGCCACAGUUUCACAUUUCCCUACCUGGGCAGGGACAGACCUGCAGACCGACCAUGAACUUUUAGCAACUUUUGAUGGGCUCAGGACUUUGCCCCCUCCUCCUUCACCAGGUUUGACUGCUCCUUCCUUAUUGGUCCUCUUUUUCACCAUAUUUGCAUAUCUGCAUUAAGCCAAUCAGGGCCCAGCAGCCACCUUAUAAAUUUGGGCAACAUGAAUAGAAUUUGCCAGAGGGAGAGAAACCUGCCUUCAACUCCCAGGAAAUGAGGCUCCCCAGUCAGGUGGAAGUCCUGAGUUGUAGAAAAUUCUGCCCCAUGCAGGGAUCUCACCUAUGCUUCCAGGACUUCACUUGCCAUUGCGGGUGGAGGGGACUCAUUUCAGCCUCUCUUGACAAGCUCCACACUGCAGGAACAGAUGGGAAUUCAUUCCCAAGGCUGCUUCCGGCUCUCAAGACCCCCGACUCCUGUCAGUGACCUACAGACUUAACCUGCAAAGGGAUGUCCUUGUUGGCACUUCAAAGCCCUCAGGAAUUUUGGGGCUAUAACAUUCCUCAGGCUUAUAAUGGCUGUGGGCUAGCAUGUCCCUGCUAAUGAUGGUCCAGAUGACAUUCUGUUUCAAGUUGUUUUAUCCUGUUUAAGGUUUUUAAUCCCCAAAUAACAAUAACCCUCACAUUCCUAUUCUUCACUGUGUGCCCACCCCAAACUCGGAGGACAGUAGGGACAAGGAUGGAUUGAAAAUGUGCAAUGCUUUCUGCCCACCCAUUUCUCACUAAGAACUUCUGAACAAAUGCUUUCAUCUCUGAGUCUCUUAGAUAUAGUAAUUUAGCUUUUAGAAUUCUUUCAGCGAGGACUUGCAGGUGUCACGGUCUGUGCCUAUAGUGCCCAGCUACUUGAAUAGUUGAGGCAGGGGCAUCAGCUGAACUCACGAGUUUGAGUCUACCCUGAGCAACACAGGACCUUCUGUCAAACAAACAGAAGCCACACCUUAUCAACCUCCAAGGACUUGUCACAGGGAGUGAUGGCCCUAAGUCCCAGAGGAGUCCUACUGUGUAAGAAGAGUCACGGCCAAGGUCUGGUCCUGCACACGAGGCAGAGGGAUUCCCAGAGAUGCACGCUACUCCCACCACCUGCUGCUUUCUUCUGAAUUAUGAUGGCUUCUUCCGUUUCCCAGACUCCCUACAAUGCAUUUCCCUUAAAAAGCUUCUUCGGAGCUGGGAUGGGCAACUAAGUUGGUAACAUGCUUGUCCUGCUUGUCCUUUGAAGCCCUAACUUCAGACCCCAGAACUCCCGAGAAAACCUGGCUGGGGUGGCACCAUGUGGAACCCUGUUAGGGAAGGAGACAGACUAACUCCUGAGGCUCACUGGCCAGUGCAGCCUACUCAGGGAGAGAUCUGCCUCAAACCAAAACAACCCAUGGUGGGCGGCUUUCUGUAGUUGUCCUCCCCCCCAACACACACACACACACACAUACACACACACACACACAGAGAGAGAGAGAGAGAGAGAGAGAGAGAGAGAACAAAAACAUGUGUUCUCUAUUUUCCUUCUAUAUACAUGAAAGCACAUGCAAAAAAAAUACUUUUUUUUUUUUUUUACUCUUCACAUUUUAGGUAAAGAAUAUGACCAGCACUUGGGAGGCAGAGUCAGGUGGGUCUCUGUGAGUUCAAGGCCAGCCUGGUCUACAGAGUAAGUUCCAGGACAGCUAGGACUACACAGAGAAACCCUGUCAAAAAAACAAACAAACAAAAACCCAAAACAAAACAAAAAAAUGUGUGACCCCCAUUCAUAUUCUCAAUCUCUCUCUCUCUCUCUCUCUCUCUCUCUCUCUCUCUCUCUCUCUCUCUCUCUCUCUCUCUCGCUCUCUCCUCGCAGUGUCUCUGUCUCUCUCAUCUCUCUCCCCUGUCUGUCUCUGUCCUGCUCUCUGAUUUCCAUCCCCAUGUUUGCCUAUCUGUCUCUGACUCCCCUGCACACACCUCCACGGGUCACCAAGGUCAUCUCUGCAGGAGCAUGCUGGGUUUUGUUCCCCCUGUGCCGUUCCACUCAAUUCUCCUCCGUGGUGGAGACCCAGAGGCGUGGAGAGCGCCCCCUGCUCUGAGGACCCCUGGAAAGGAUGCCCAGUCCUGGAGCCUCCCACCUCGCCUGCCUGCUGCCACACCACAGCCACCCGGAGCCCCGUUCUUGUGUCUGUUUCUAACUCUGAUGGUUCAGUGCUCUGAUCAUCACAUUGCCGGGAUCACCCUGGGACCCUGAGCCCCAGGGCAUCACCAAGGCAGAGCAUGGCCGGGAGUCCCAUUCCCACCCCUGCUCUCUCUGCCCUCCCAGAGCUGACUGCUGUUGCUAGGAUGGUUUUCCUUCUCCCUCAGUGCACAACCUGCCUGAGCUUGAGCCCUAGAGCCUAUGGCAUCCUAGAGUAAGGCAGCUUUUCUACAGAACUAUGCCCCUCCCCCACCCAGAGGAAAUCGGAAACCAUCUGCAAAAAUUGCAAUGUCCUCGGGAUGGCGUGGCUGGUUGGGGUGGAGGACGGAGAGCUCUGGCUCCAGGGGUGAAAUAAGAAGUAGAUUGGAUUGGGGAGGAGAGAAGAGGAAGGAAAGGAGCCUCCCAGGCCACCAUGCUCUGCUGUAACGGAGCUUAAGCUAAACAGGCAUUUCACGGGGCUGAGCAGCAGGCCCAGAGGCUCGGCUGUCCUACCAUGCCCUGGUCCCUCCCACCCCCCACUCUGGAGGUGUCAAAGUGAAGACUUUGCCAUCAUCACCCAAAAAGAACGUGCGUGAGAUGUGACCAUUUGUCACCUAGAUGGAGUAUGGAUACGCACCCCUGCAAACACCGUAAUGACUAAUUCCAGACAUUUAUUACAAUUCUUGGGAGACUUGAAAGCUGUCCUGGCUCUUGAUUUUAAUAAAUGUAGUCUCGAAGCAGCCGCUUAUCAAAGUGACACAAAUUGUGUGGUAAAUAGAUUAUGGCACAGCUGAAAUACUGGAAAACGAGAUCGGAAACGCUCCUUCUCUACCAUUUAAAACUCCCAAGACCCGUAAGCCAGUGCUGCCACAGGCCCUGGCCUCUGAACAACCGGCCAGAGAGAAUACCACAGCUCAAGGGCUUGGUGUGGGCAGCUCACACCACCCUGCAAGGAGAGCAGGACCGGGGAGUGGGGUACAGGCAGUGGAGAGCUGAAGGGAGUGAGGCUGGAAGGAGAUGCUGGUUGUGGGUGUUGGGUACUCACCCCACCCCCACCCUGGGAAGUUUGACUUCUCUUAAGGACCCCAAGGAGUCCACUCCUAGUGGCUUUGCAUCCAGAGGCUCCUGGCCUGUCUGAUUUCUCCCUCCUCUCCGGCCAGGCAAGAACCUAUCACCGAGCGGGGCCUGUCCAGAGUCUUGGCAAGAAAUAUGAGGUCCAUCUGCUGCCUGACCAGGGCCUCAGAGCACUGUGGACGCUCCCUGUUGGACCAGGCCAUGUUCUGAUCUCUAGGGCCUCACACCUAGGCUGCUUCACUUCCUCUGAGGACAGAGUGACCAGGAAAAGCUCCGUGCACUCAAAAAGUAUAAGAAAGUUCCGGGGAGGUUUCCCUGUUUGCCUUCAACACCCAAACCAGGGUUCCCUGAGACUCCUGGGCAUGCACAGGCCACACCCACUCCAGAUGGCUCCCUCCCAAGAGUAUGAUUUGGUUGGAGGUCAGAGGAUAACCAGCAGGAAUAGGUUCUCUUCUUCUACCAAUCUCAGGGAUUGAACUCAGGGACUUGGGGUUAGUAGCAAGCCUCUUUACCUGCUGGGCCAUCUCACAGUCCCAAAAGCCGUGGCCUUUAGGCUUUCUUCCUCCCUCCCCCUCAGCAGCCAACUCUCCAGGGGACUUUAGGCCUCCUGGCAUUGUGACAUUGUAGAGCUAAACACACUGAGCCUUUGGGAGCCAAAGUCCUCCUGGGUCUCAGAGGGGAAGAAGUGAUGUCACCACAGUCUCCUCUCCACUCAGGAUACCUGCCACAUGAGACACCUGUGACACGGGAUACCCGCCUGUUGUUUUCAUUGGCAGAAGAGCUUGGUUCGGUUGAGAAUGCUCAGGCUGUACCGGCUUUGAGGACUCCUUCUUGUUUUAUUUUUUAAACAUAGACAUCAAAUUAAGCAAUUAAACUGUUUAUUAUUUAAGCCCAAGUUAAUAGAUGCUAAAUUGUAUUAUUUAUCAAAUGUUAAUUAUUCAUUAGGUAUUUUCAAAUGAAACAUCAGGCAUCUAACAAAUUCAAUUUAAACAAUUCCGAGUAUUGUUCUGAGAGAUUUUCCAGAUGAGGUGGGAGGAAAGGCUUUCGGAAAGGGUUCUUCUAGUCGGGAGAGUGCAGGGCUUUGGGAAGAAGGCCUGAGGAGGCUGAAGGGAGUGGCGGACUCUAUUGAGCUGGGCCUGAAGCCUUCACCUGCUGGCCUCUGAGCUGCAAUCUGCUGUUUGGAUACACAGCGUGCUUACUCUCUCCUGGCAAACGCAGAGGCGGGAUGCGAAAUGUAACUUUAUCAGAGAGAGGUAUAUAAGGGACAGGGCUGCCUAGAAGAGCCAACUGGCCCUGCAGAGGGAUUCCUGAGGGCUCAGGGCUUGGGGUGGGGGUGGGGGGGACAAGGAGAAGGAAUGGACUGAACACCCAAGGAGAGGACAGGGGAAUCUAGACUCACAGGGACACAUGCUGGUUGAAUCUAGUUACACAGCUCUUUUCUUUACAAUAUCUGCAUAGAAAACCAAGGUGUAGGACA